rnacentral:lncRNA from 1 species
CUCAUUUAAGACUUUUACUCAUUUAAGACUUUUAAUAGGAGUUAAUGGUUUAAGGCUCAAUUUAUAAAGUGGAAUACUGGGUACCUUUUUUUUUUGGUGUAUUUCUUGUGUAAAUAUUUACGUAUUUAAAAUUUGCUUCAUUAAACUGAUUUUUGCAGUCUUCAGAGCAGACAAGUAAGAGGAAAGAUUGCCCAUCACCAUUUGAGCAGAAUUUUUUUGUGUUAACACAUGCCUAUAUGGGAGGUUUUAUCAGGUGCUGAAGAAAAAACUGAUCUUUUGUUGGCCAAAUGCCAGCCUUUCAGCAUAAGAGCAGGUAUAUAUUUUUAUUAAAGGUAAAGCAGCAAUAUUUCUUGGUUAAACAAGGCUUUAGACUCCCAUUUCUUCCCAAAGUAUAGGCUGGGUUGUAUGAGGCCCUGCUUGGCUUGAAGAGCUUGGUGAGGCUCACCUGAGGCCCUGUCCCACAACCCUUGCCUGCAUGCCCAGGCCUACUCACCCUUGGGUGGGCCUGCCAAGCUGCAGGUGCUCCUGUGCCAUCCAUUCAUUGCUGACUGGCCUUCUGAGGUGGACUCCAGACCUGUUCUGAAAGUGAAGCUUUAUUAAAGAGACACUGCUGGGAUAAUUUUCUUCAAUUUUGAUUUCUGGGCAUAUGCUGAACAUCUGUCUCUACAGAAUCAAGUCUACUGAGAGCAUACUGCACAAAGCUUAACAACACAAUUUCAGAACAGUAAAAGAAAAUGUUUUUGAAGGAAAAGUGUUUCUGCCAAUAAUGCUAGGGUGCUGAAAUGUACAGUGAUUUGUAUUUUGAUGUGCUGCAUCCAUACAACUGGAAAUUGGACAGAGUAAAAACUACUACUAAGAAAAUGCUCGAGACUGGCAAGAAGAAAGUAUCUGCCACCACUGAAAAAAGGAUGCCUAAUACUUAUAGAGUUUCCUUUACAAACUUUUUCAGACCACAGUUGUGGAUGUCCCUCCUGAAAUGGCACUUUCUGCUCUAUUCACACCAGAAGGCAAUUGGAACUCACGUGUGAUUCUCCAUCCUCCUAGCACUUCAUAGAGACAUCUGACCAGAGACUGCUGAUGCACAGGCAGCUGGAAUAUGUGCUGUUUUAUUCAGAAAAGAGUGUGGGAAUAAGUAAACAGAAGGGCCAGAAAUCCUCACUCUAGGGAACUGUGGAACUGAUACUGGAAGACUGUCAAGUCAGAAUAUCCCUAGAUUAAUAGGACAUGACUUCAAGCCAUACAUGAAUCCAGAUUCCAGAGGCUUGAGCUCAGGUAAAAGUCUGGAUUACGUGAAAUUUGUGAGAAAAGUACAGGAAAUCUACAGUGAUUUCAUGUAUUUAAAGCCUGUUCUCAAUCAAACUACUAAGACAAUUAAUUUCAACAGGAAAAAAAAAACAAAAGAACCCAAACAAACCUGGAAGGGACUUCCAGAAUUUUGAAUUAAGAAAUUUUCAAAAAUUCAAGUUUAAGAUAUUACUUGAAAACUGUCUCAGGCUGAGGAGGGAUCUGAAUCUAAUUGUCACAGCCCUACAAAAUUAUUCUACAUAUAGAAACUUAUAACAUACAUAAUAACCUUAUUCUAGUUUGUAUUCUAGAACAAACAUGUCUGCAUGAGACAGUUAUUCAGUAAGGAUGCUGCUUUUAUUCUUAAAUUCCACAUGCAGUCAAGCUCUCAGUCAAAUCACCACAACUCUGUAUGUAGAUGAAUUGUCAGUCUCUCUCUGCUUACAUUUACAGGAAAUCUGUAUCUCUGCUACUAAAUGCAGCUGACAGAUCUGAAAAUGUCACAUUUGUUUGCAAAGUAGGCAGAGAUCUUAAAAGCUCUCACCCCUAUUAGCCUACUAUUUUUGUGUCCUUUGCAUGAGUUAUGAACUGCAUAUUCUUCAUAUUUUGUGUUAAAUGUCAUUAGCAAACUAAUAAAUGUUAUGGAGAGAGGAAAAGUUUUUUCUUC